UAGGGAAUAUUGGGCAAUGGAGGCAACUCUGACCCAGCCACCACGCGUGAAGGACGAAGGCGUUCUGCGUCGUAAACUUCUUUUGUCUGUGAAGAAAAGAUUCAGUUACUGGAUAAUUGACGGUAACAGACGAAUAAGCACCGGCUAACUCCGUGCCAGCAGCCGCGGUAAUACGGAGGGUGCAAGCGUUAUCCGGAUUCACUGGGUUUAAAGGGUGCGUAGGCGGCCUGUCAAGUCAAAGGUGAAAGCCCGCAGCUUAACUGUGGAAUUGCCUUGUAAACUGUCAGGCUUGAAUCUGGUUGAAGUGGCUGGAAUAUAUCAUGUAGCGGUGAAAUGCUUAGAUAUGAUGUAGAACACCGAUUGCGAAGGCAGGUCACUAAGCCAACAUUGACGCUGAGGCACGAAAGCGUGGGUAGCGAACAGG
rnacentral:rRNA from 1 species